rnacentral:rRNA from 1 species
AGUGAACGCUGGCGGUAGGCCUAACACAUGCAAGUCGAACGGCAGCACAGUAAGAGCUUGCUCUUACGGGUGGCGAGUGGCGGACGGGUGAGGAAUACAUCGGAAUCUACUUUUUAGUGGGGGAUAACGUCGGGAAACAUACGCUAUUACAGCAUACGACCUACGGGUGAAAGCAGGGGAUCUUCGGACCUUGCGCGAUUGAAUGAGCCGAUGUCGGAUUAGCUAGUUGGCGGGGUAAAGGCCCACCAAGGCGACGAUCCGUAGCUGGUCUGAGAGGAUGAUCAGCCACACUGGAACUGAGACACGGUCCAGACUCCUACGGGAGGCAGCAGUGGGGAAUAUUGGACAAUGGGCGCAAGCCUGAUCCAGCCAUGCCGCGUGGGUGAAGAAGGCCUUCGGGUUGUAAAGCCCUUUUGUUGGGAAAGAAAAGCAGCAGGUUAAUACCCCGCUGUUCUGACGGUACCCAAAGAAUAAGCACCGGCUAACUUCGUG